rnacentral:rRNA from 1 species
AGAGUUUGAUCCUGGCUCAGAAUGAACGCUGGCGGCAUGGAUUAGGCAUGCAAGUCGAACGGUGAAGCCCGCAAGGGCCGAUCAGUGGCGCAAGGGUGAGUAACACGUGAGCAAUCUGCCCCCGGAACCGGGACAGCCCCGGGAAACUGGGAUUAAUACCGGAUGCGGCGCGCGGGUCGCAUGGCCCGCUCGCCAAAGAUUGAUUUCGUCCGGGGAGGAGCUCGCGGCCCAUUAGCUUGUUGGCGGGGUAACGGCCCACCAAGGCCAAGACGGGUAGGUGGUCUGAGAGGAUGGUCACCCACACUGGGACUGAGACACUGCCCAGACUCCUACGGGAGGCUGCAGUCGAGAAUCUUCCGCAAUGGGCGCAAGCCUGACGGAGCAAUGCCGCGUGAGGGAUGAAGGCCUUCGGGUUGUAAACCUCUGUCACCCGGGAAGACAACAGACGGUACCGGGAGAGGAAGCCACGGCUAACUACGUGCCAGCAGCCGCGGUAAUACGUAGGUGGCGAGCGUUAUUCGGAUUUACUGGGCGUAAAGGGUCCGUAGGGGGUUUGUCAAGUCGGGUGUGAAAGCCCGCCGCUCAACGGCGGAGGCGCGCCCGAAACUGACGGACUCGAGUCCGUGAAGGGAGAGCAGAAUUCCUGGUGUAGCGGUGGAAUGCGUAGAUAUCAGGAGGAAUACCGGUGGCGAAGGCGGCUCUCUGGCGCGGUACUGACCCUGAGGGACGAAAGCGUGGGUAGCAAACAGGAUUAGAUACCCUGGUAGUCCACGCUGUAAACGGUGCGCACUAGAUGUGGAGGGUCCUUUGGUCCCCUCCGUGUCCCAGCUAACGCGAUAAGUGCGCCGCCUGGGGACUACGGCCGCAAGGCUAAAACUCAAAGGAAUUGACGGGGGCCCGCACAAGCGGUGGAGCAUGUGGCUUAAUUCGAGGCAACGCGAAGAACCUUACCUGGGCUUGACAUCGAGCGACCGGCGGUGAAAGCCGCCUUUCCCUUCGGGGACGCGAAGACAGGUGCUGCAUGGCUGUCGUCAGCUCGUGCCGUGAGGUGUUCGGUUAAGUCCGGCAACGAGCGCAACCCGUGUCGUCAGUUGCCAGCAGGUCAAGCUGGGCACUCUGGCGAGACUGCCCGUGUCAAGCGGGAGGAAGGCGCGGAUGACGUCAAGUCCGUAUGGCCCUUACGUCCAGGGCUGCACACGUGCUACAAUGGUCGGUACAAUGGGAUGCAAUACCGCGAGGUGGAGCCAAUCCUGAAAACCGGCCCCAGUUCAGAUUGCAGUCUGCAACUCGACUGCAUGAAGCCGGAAUCGCUAGUAAAGGCGUAUCAGCUACGACGCCUUGAAUACGUUCCCGGGCCUUGUACACACCGCCCGUCACAUCAUGGGAGCUGGCUGCACCCGACACCGCCGACUCAACCCGCAAGGGAGAUAGGCGACUAAGGUGUGUCCAGUGACUGGGAUGAAGUCGGAACAAGGUA